rnacentral:rRNA from 1 species
GACGAACGCUGGCGGCAUGCCUAACACAUGCAAGUCGAACGAGACCUUCGGGUCUAGUGGCGCACGGGUGCGUAACGCGUGGGAACCUGCCCUUAGGUUCGGAAUAACUCCCCGAAAGGGGUGCUAAUACCGGAUAAUGUCUUCGGACCAAAGAUUUAUCGCCUUUGGAUGGGCCCGCGUUGGAUUAGCUAGUUGGUAGGGUAAAAGCCUACCAAGGCGACGAUCCAUAGCUGGUCUGAGAGGAUGAUCAGCCACACUGGGACUGAGACACGGCCCAGACUCCUACGGGAGGCAGCAAUGGGGAAUAUUGGACAAUGGGCGAAAGCCUGAUCCAGCAAUGCCGCGUGAGUGAUGAAGGCCUUAGGGUUGUAAAGCUCUUUUACCCGGGAUGAUAAUGACAGUACCGGGAGAAUAAGCUCCGGCUAACUCCGUG